CCGCCGCCCCGCCAGCACCGGGGUCCUCGGGGGUCCUGAGGGCUUCGGGGAGGGGCUGCCGCCGGCCGGGGAGGGCGCCCGCGCCGAGUCCCCGCCCGCGCGCCCCCGCCCGCCCGUCCGGCCCGCCCGCCCCGGAAUGCCAUGGAGCGAGGGGCGUGCGUGCCGGGGGCGGGCCCGGCCGGAGGGGGCGGCCGCGCUGACUCAGGGCUCAGGAAUGCGCACGGCCCGCCCGGCCCGAGCCACCUCCUCCCGGAAGGCCGCUGGGCUCCGCUCUCCCUUGUGCCCGCCCGCGGGGACACCUGUGGCUGGGGUUUGCGAGCGCCUUGGCCAAGGAAGGGAGGGAGGAUCCGGUGGCCCGGCUGGAGGGAGCCUGACGGCCGACGACAGUCCAGCUCCUCAGCCACUCCCGGACUCCAGAGGCAUGGCAAGGGGGCCCAAAAAUACCUGGGCCCAGGGCCCAGCAGCACUGGCAGCACGCUCCAGGAAAGGAGGAUGCAGCCCCCACACACCUCCUCCUGCUCCCUCUCCACUCAAGGAGCCUCUGACCCCCCAGCGCCCGUCAGAUACCGAGGGCCUAGGAGGCCAGUCAGGAUGCCAGAAGCCACCCUGCUGAGAAGCCAAAGCAGGACUCUGACCCAACUCUCCCAUCGACCGUGUCAGCCCUCCCUACGUUAGACAGGACACUGAGCCAGUGAGCUGGGUGCCCUGGGACAGUGCUGUGCUGGAACUUGGCCUCUGUGGCUGGUAGAGCCCCUGUCCUUUCUCUCAAGGCCGCAGAGACUGACGGCCCCACUGCAGGCCGUGAGCCCUCCCUGCAGGGCACAGAGCAGCCCACCCCAACGCUGACCCCUUUCAAAGCAUCGAGGGUGUCCUCACCUCCAUCUUCCAUUGGCAUCCUCCAAUAAGCCUCUCCCAGCCCAGCAGCAGGCACGUGGACGGAGGCGGCCCACGCCCCUCCUGCCCAGCACCACCUUCUGUCCCUCAGCCCGCCUGCCGGCCCUGCAGGCCACAGUGGGAAUGCUCAGCCCACCACUUCCAGCCUGUGGUGGGGCCUCAGACCACAAACCAGGAAGUGGGGGGUGGGGGGGUGCAGGGGUUGCGCAAGCCCCGGCACUCAGGCCCGAACAUCUGGAGAAGUGGGUUGCUGGCACCGGCCCUGCCUCCUCCCCCUGGGAGCCAGGGCUGCCCUCCUGGCCUCUCUCUCCUCUUCCUAAGGUGGGGAUAAAACACCCCUCUGGGAACGUGUGGACUCCCCAUGUUUUCUGCAAGGCCUGGCACCAUUUGUGAAAUCCAAAUAAAAAUUAACACAAAA
rnacentral:lncRNA from 1 species